AGAGUUUGAUCCUGGCUCAGGAUGAAUGCUGGCGGCGUGCUUAACACAUGCAAGUCGAGCGAGAGAGUUUCUUCGGAAACAAUCUAGCGGCGGACGGGUGAGUAACACGUGGGCAACCUGCCUUGUAGUGGGGGAUAGCCCUCCGAAAGGAGGAUUAAUACCGCAUAUUGUCACAUUGAGGCAUCUCAAAGUGAUGAAAGGAGUAAUCCGCUACAAGAUGGGCCCGCGGCGCAUUAGCUAGUUGGUGAGGUAACGGCUCACCAAGGCGACGAUGCGUAGCCGACCUGAGAGGGUGAUCGGCCACAUUGGGACUGAGACACGGCCCAGACUCCUACGGGAGGCAGCAGUGGGGAAUAUUGCACAAUGGGGGAAACCCUGAUGCAGCAACGCCGCGUGAGUGAUGAAGGUCUUCGGAUUGUAAAGCUCUGUCUUCGGGGACGAUAAUGACGGUACCCGAGGAGGAAGCCACGGCUAACUACGUGCCAGCAGCCGCGGUAAU
rnacentral:rRNA from 1 species